CGGGCUGCCGUCUUUUUCUUUUUCUUUUGGAUCUUGUGGUUUCUUCUUUGAAUGUUCGCGCUGUGAUUUUUGAGUACCAUUCUGUACCAUGGGUACAUGACGAGGUACUCCCUCCGAUUCAUAAAAAAUGUCGUCCACUUAGUACAUGAAUCGGAGGGAGUACUAUUUUUUUAUAAAUAUUUGUGCUGUGAUUUUUUUCCUGAUACAUGACGUACAAUUAUGAGUUGAUGUACACAAUAUUUACAAACAAGGUACUAAGUUUUGAUGAAGUGUCACAUCAUGAGGUACUAAGUCUUGAUGAUUUUUUGUACUUUUUUCUUGAUACAUGACAUACAAUUAUGAGUUGAUAUACACAAUAUUAACAGACGAGGUAGUAAGUAUUGAAGAGUUACUCGUCUUAUUUUGGCAGCUGUGAUUUGAGUACCAUCAUGUACUAUUGUUAGUACCGAUGGGUACAUUGAUAAACGAGCAAUGUACCAUCAUUUGUCGUAUCUCAUGACUCACUAAAAUAUAUACCGAUGAGUACAUUAUGUGAUUUUCAACAUUACAACAACAAAAUAAGAGAGGAGAGAGAGAGAAAAGCAAAAAAAAUAUAAAAAGUUGCCAGUUGUCACAUCCAAAAGAGAGUGAAACCUAACACAAGAAGGUUCAAAAAGAAAAACCUGACACAAGUUGUACGUUUUCUUGUUAAUCAUCUUUCUCUAAUUCUCUCUCUCUGAAACUACAUAAUACCUUGCGUGUUGC
rnacentral:lncRNA from 1 species